AACAAGGAUAAGCCCUUCUGCGUUGCUGGCUACUGCUGGAUGGGUGACGAGGAUUACCUUGCGUCUCCAGAACAGUCCCAGAGCUCCAAAGUUGUGUUUUUAUUGAUCGAGACUUCCUGGAUUCUAAGGAAGAACGAAACAAGUCACGAUUCCCAUGGCGCUCCAGCCAGGGCCCUCGCCAACGCCGUCUU